rnacentral:rRNA from 1 species
GACGAACGCUGGCGGCGUGCUUAACACAUGCAAGUCGAGCGGAAAGGCCCUUCGGGGUACUCGAGCGGCGAACGGGUGAGUAACACGUGAGUAACCUGCCCCAGACUUUGGGAUAACCCUCGGAAACGGGGGCUAAUACCGGAUACGACACAGCUUCGCAUGGGGUCUGUGUGGAAAGUUUUUCGGUUUGGGAUGGGCUCGCGGCCUAUCAGCUUGUUGGUGGGGUGAUGGCCUACCAAGGCGACGACGGGUAGCCGGCCUGAGAGGGCGACCGGCCACACUGGGACUGAGACACGGCCCAGACUCCUACGGGAGGCAGCAGUGGGGAAUAUUGCACAAUGGGCGGAAGCCUGAUGCAGCGACGCAGCGUGAGGGAUGACGGCCUUCGGGUUGUAAACCUCUUUCAGCAGGGACGAAGCGUAAGUGACGGUACCUGCAUAAGAAGCGCCGGCCAACUACGUG